rnacentral:rRNA from 1 species
AUUGAACGCUGGCGGCAGGCUUAACACAUGCAAGUCGAGCGAGCGGCGGACGGGUGAGUAAUGUCUGGGAAACUGCUUGAUGGCGGGGGAUAACUACUGGAAACGGUAGCUAAUACCGCAUACCAUCAGCUUUGCCCAGAUGGGAGUAGCUAUUAGGUGGGGUAAGGGCUCACCUAGGCGACGAUCCCUAGCUGGUCUGAGAGGUUGAAAAGCCACACUGGAACUGAGACACGGUCCAGACUCCUACGGGAGGCAGCAGUGGGGAAGAUUGCACAAUGGGCGCAAGCCUGAUGCAGCCAUGCCGCGUGUGUGAAGAAGGCCUUCGGGUUGUAAAGCACUUUCAGCGAGGAGGCGUUACUCGCAGAGGAAGCACCGGCUAACUCCGUGCCAGCAGCCGCGGUAAUUC